rnacentral:rRNA from 1 species
UACGUAGGGUGCAAGCGUUGUCCGGAAUUAUUGGGCGUAAAGAGCUCGUAGGCGGUCUGUCGCGUCGGCUGUGAAAUCCCGAGGCUCAACCUCGGGUCUGCAGUCGAUACGGGCAAACUGGAGUGUUGCAGGGAGACUGGAAUUCCUGGUGUAGCGGUGAAAUGCGCAGAUAUCAGGAGGAACACCGGUGGCGAAGGCGGGUCUCUGGGCAACAACUGACGCUGAGGAGCGAAAGCGUGGGAGCGAACAGG